GGGGAAGUAGCUCAAUGGUAGAGCACAUAAACAUAUCAAUUGUUGGUACAAUUUCGAUAGAAUUGUUUCAUGCAGAAACAAGGUUCGAGGUUCGAAUCCUCGCUUCUCCA
rfam:Daucus carota subsp. sativus cultivar DH1 chromosome 1, whole genome shotgun sequence.